rnacentral:rRNA from 1 species
CCCUUAGAUGUUCUGGGCCGCACGCGCGCUACACUGACGAUGUCAACGAGUCUCUCCUUGGCCGAAAGGUCUGGGUAAUCUUCUGAAACAUCGUCGUGCUGGGGAUAGAUCAUUGCAAUUUUUGAUCUUGAACGAGGAAUUCCUAGUAAGCGCGAGUCAUCAGCUCGCGUUGAUUACGUCCCUGCCCUUUGUACACACCGCCCGUCGCUACUACCGAUUGAAUGGUUUAGUGAGGACUCCUGAUUGGCGCCGCCGCCCCGGCAACGGAGCAGUGGACUGCCGAAAAGUUGUUCAAACUUGACCAUUUAGAGGAAGUAAAAGUCGUAACA